ACGUCGUGAGACAGUUCGGUCUCUAUCUAUUGCGGGCGUUAGAUGUUUGAGAGGGCUUGAUUCUAGUACGAGAGGACCGAAUUGAACAAACCUCUGGUGUAUCAGUUGUACCGCCAGGUGCACCGCUGAGUAGCUAUGUUUGGAAGAGAUAAACACUGAAAGCAUAUAAGUGUGAAACUCGCCUCAAGAUGAGACAUCUUUUAAGGGUCGUGGGAGAUGACCACGUUGAUAGGCUACAGGUGUAAAGUUGGUAACAGCAUAGC
rnacentral:rRNA from 1 species